GAGUUUGAUCCUGGCUCAGGAUGAACGCUGGCGGCGUGCUUAACACAUGCAAGUCGAGCGAAGCGAUUUAGCGGAAGUUUUCGGAUGGAAGUUGGAUUGACUGAGCGGCGGACGGGUGAGUAACGCGUGGGUAACCUGCCUCAUACAGGGGGAUAACAGUUAGAAAUGACUGCUAAUACCGCAUAAGCGCACGGGAACGCAUGUUUUUGUGUGAAAAGCCGAGACGGUAUGAGAUGGACCCGCGUCUGAUUAGCUAGUUGGUGAGGUAACGGCCCACCAAGGCGACGAUCAGUAGCCGACCUGAGAGGGUGACCGGCCACAUUGGGACUGAGACACGGCCCAAACUCCUACGGGAGGCAGCAGUGGGGAAUAUUGCACAAUGGGGGAAACCCUGAUGCAGCGACGCCGCGUGAGUGAAGAAGUAUUUCGGUAUGUAAAGCUCUAUCAGCAGGGAAGAGAAUGACGGUACCUGACUAAGAAGCCCCGGCUAACUACGUGCCAGCAGCCGCGGUAA
rnacentral:rRNA from 1 species